rnacentral:lncRNA from 1 species
UAGGUUCUGAAACUAAGAAAAAUAACUGAAAUCCUGAUUCUCCAAUUCUUCCCCUGGCAACAGGUAUAUAGGAGUACUGUACUUUUGUAUUAAAAUGGAGAAUUGUGAAGACAGGAAGAGGUAGCACUUGGAAAUGACUCUCCUGGAUGAGUAGAUCACUUAGGAGUCGUCGGCAUUACAGAACGAUAUGCUGGUUUGGAAGGUGCUGGAACUAAAUUGCAAACUUUCAUUUUUUUCAUUCAACCCAUGGAUUUUCUAAUUGUUCCUUGGAGUAGAUGAAGUCCGAAGCCAGUGUGUGAUGGGGCAUGAGGCGUGCCAGUGUUUUCCUACUUACUGCAUCUUGGAUUAGUUUGCUGCCAUUUUGAAGAGUUUGCAUUUUUGUGGGCAAGGACCUAAUGUGAUGGAUUUAUCUUCAGAAAUGAACAGACAUGGGAAGAAUCCGGUGAGUCACAAGCUGGAAGACCAGAAGAAGGUAAGAGAGGCAAAAACCCCUCUGCUUCAUCUGCUUUUAUAAAGCGAGUUUGGUCAGUAGGAGUCAAUGUAUUGGUUCCUCUUACUCUGCAGUCUUGAAUCUCACCUUGAAGGGUCAAACUUGAAUUUAGUUUUUCUAUCUUUUAAGAAACUCUUCCUUGCUCAGGAAUUGCACUCACUGUAGUAAAAACAAUGUUACAGGCACUUACAAGAAGGGUUAAGGAAAGUGCCCAGGACAGAAAGCCCUGUUAAUUUCACCUUGUAGGAUGGAUGUAUUUGGUGACUACUGUUAGUACAGGGUAGGACUGUAGGGAGCCAUUGGCUAAAUAAAGCACAUGAGCAAAAUAGUGAGAUAAAUGGAAUGAAGUUUUUUUAGUAGGUAAGGAUCAAAGAGGUGUGAUUAAGAUUUGAUUAAUCUUAAUUGCUUAAUCUUACUCUUCUUAAUUUGCUUAAUCUUUAUCCAAUUGAUGGGAACAGAUGCAGAGAGCCACAGCCAAACAUUAGCUAGAGCUCAGGUAAUCUAUGAAACAGGGGGAGGAAGGAUUAUAGGAGCCUGAGGGCUCAAGACAAGAAUGCAGCCCCCCCCCAAAAAAUCAAUUAAACAGGGCUCAUAGAAGAUCACAGAGACUAAACCGAUAAGCAGGGAGCCUGCAUGGGUUUGCAGUACAUCCUCUGAGUAUAUUGUAUGGUUGUGUAAUUUGAUGUUCUUAAAAGACUCACAACAAUGGGAGUGGAGGUGUCUCUGGUGCUUUCACCUGCUCUUGGGAUCCUUCUACUGGAUUGCCUUGUCCAGCCUUGAUAUGUGGAUUUGUGCCUGGUCUUAUUGUACCUUGUUAUGACGUGCUUGGUUGGUAUUCCUGGGAGUCCUGAUCUUUUCUGAAGGGAAAUGGAGGAGGUGUGCAUCUGGGGUGAGGCAGGAGGACUGAAAAGAAUGGAUGGAGGGGAAACUGUAGUUGGAUGCAACAUAUAAGAAAAUAAUAAUAACAACAAUUAAUAAUAAUGGGAAUUGUUUGAAAUGUAAAUAAAAUAUCUAAUAAAAAAAGAAAAAGAGAAAUAAACUGGUAUGCCAAAUUGGAAAAAAAAAAUAACAGGAAUUGCAUUUACACCUAUCUAAGUGAAAUCUUUGCUUAGCAGAUGUUUUACAUUUCCCCCAAAGACUCCAGGUCUUUGAGUUUCAGAGUUAAGGAGUUUGAGAGAGAGGUUUUGAGACAAUUGCUGAUUAAUUUUGUCAGUUGUUUUCUUUACUGCUCCUAGGAUAGAGCCAUAGUCAUGCCUUAGCCAUUGAAAGAGACAACAGUGAGUACCACUUUUCUUGAGGGUAGUAGGUAUUGUGUGUCAUUUUGUGUACUUGAAGGAAAGUAAUGUUCAGGAAACACUAAGAAUGAUAAAGUCCACAAUACCUAUAGGUGCUUUUUAUUUCAUUGAGCAUGUAAUUUUUACAUUUCUACAUGGGUGUAUUUCUAGGACUAUUGUUCAUUUAUACUCAGUUUAUAUUGAAGUAUACAAUUCUUUUCUUGUAAGUAGGCUGCCCACUCAAAGGAUGUCAUUAGUUUGAGCAUAAAGGAAUGUUUCGCAGUUCUUUCUUUUUGUUGGCUGCCUUCUUUCUUUAUUUUAGUAGCGUGUGGAAAUGAGCCUAGGGACACUCACAGGUUAGUCAAAUACUCUACUCUUGAGCAACAAGCAUCUCCAGGUCCCUGCAGGAAAGAGUUAAUUAAUCAUCUCUCUUUAUACUCUUUAAAAUGUCCUUAACACUGAUGGCAAUUUACCUACAAUGUAUAUAUAGACAAAGAGUGGGUGGGUGGCAGAUAAACACUUGAUACUAGAAAUGUCUAACUUUGGUUUGACCCCCUGAUUUAUUGAUAGGAAAUAAAAAGAAACUAUUCAUUUCCUGAACAAGGCUUUUUUCCUUCCUUUCUUCCUUCCUUCCUUUCUUUCUUUCUUUCUUUUCUUUUCUUUUUUUUUUCCUAACGUAGAAGAUAUUGCAAGCCAAAAAAAAAAAAAAAAAAAAAAAAAAAAGCUGAAUUCUUGGAAGAGUUUUCCACAUUGCUUUCUUAGAAACUUUAAACAAUGGUCUGUACCCAUGUGUAGAUUCCCAGGCCAGUUCACAAAAGACUCUUCAGCUCAUACUUAAGUUUAGAAAAAGCAUAGAGAGUUAUAAUUUUGUGAGAAACUUAGAAAUUCCAGCUUUGUGCUUGGGGACUACAAUAUUCCAAUUUUUUUUUCUCUAGCCUUUGGGAGAGGAAGUGGAAGAAAGGGAACAUUUUUGUUUUUAUUGUGUAGGAAGAAGAAUGGAAAAUGGGCUCUAAUAAUUACCCUUUUGGCUGCCACACUGAUUGGAUAUUUUAGAGGACAACAUGGUAUAUAAGAUCUACAAGUAAAUUAGAGAUCACAUAGAUAGUUAAACAGAUAGAUAUAGAAAAGAUAUAUAUAGAUAUUUAUGCAAAUAACUAGGCAGUCAAUCAAUAAAUAUAAGAAAAGUAAAUAGAGAGGUUAGACAGAUAGAUUCAGGGGCAUUUAAAAUUCAAAUUUGUUAAGUGUCAGCUGAAACCUCUAAUGUCAAUGACACUUUUGUGAGUUUGCAUUAUAGAGGAACAUGAAAUCUAUUAUCAUAAAUCAUUGUAGACAAAUAAUUGACCUCAGUCUUGCCAUCACAUAAUUCCUAGAAGAGAUUAUAAAAUUAUGCUUGUAAUUACUUGAAGCGUUUGCUAUCCUUCAUGAUGAGUGAAUUUCAUGGGUCCAGGGUUCCACACUAUCGAAAUAAAACAUGUAUAUUCUAGGUGCUGCCUAGAUGAUCAUAUCACUGAUACUUUGUACAUAUCUUAUUUUCAUAGGCUUUAUUAUGUAUUAGAAAUUUAAAACAAUAUACUACAAAGAGUGGGCAUGGGCACGCAGUCCAUCUAUUGCACAGCUAAGCUCUUAUAGUCUACAAACACCUUGCAUGAUUUUAGUUUUAUUUUCCUAAUAUGUAGAUUUGUGCUUUUUGUGCUUUAUUUCUAAGUGGAAUUUCUUUCUAUUAUUCCUGUUGUGUGAGUUUGGAAGCCACCUAUCAAGGUGAGUAAGUGAAGGAAAGGAAAGAGAGUGUGUAUAGCACUUACGGUGAUCUCGGGUGCAGUUUAUUAAUACAGUAUCUUCUCACAAGGGUAAAAUUCUGUACUUACCAUCAUAGUUGUUUUGGGUCUCUCACAUAGCAAUCAUUUCUGGGCAGCAUAAUCCUACUUUUAAUUGGCACAGAUAGCAUAGUUCUUAGAGAACAAUUUUCCUGGGGUCUCUUUCCUGGAAUCUUGUUCAACCGUAAUAAAUACAGAAAUAGUUAUCAGUUACUCAAGAAUAUAUUACUCCAAAAGUGAAGUUUUAAAAAAACAUGUGAGUUUUGGGGGUUUUAAGUUCUGAUUUCUAUGUUUGAAUAGAUGAAAAUGCACCUGAAAUUUAAAAGGUCUCAUGAGCACAAGUCAUAUCAAAAGUACCCUUCAUUAUGAAUAAAGCAGAGGGGAUCUUUUAGGUCUAACAAUUUUAGAUAAUUAAAAGAAAAUACAUCUCCGGAUCAUAUAUGAACAUAGUCAGUGUUGGGCUAGUUAGAAUUCAGUGGCUUUCUUAAUUAUUUCAGUUCUUAUGAAUAGAACUAACAGCUCAUAAUGGACCAUAGCCUGGAUUUUGACCUUUAGCUUCUAGAAUAUAGCAGAUGGAAAAGUGAGCAAAACAUUGUAAAUCUCUAUGUGCCUAUAAUGAGACUCUGUAGCUUUAAAAUUUUACCUUUUCAACCUUAUUUGCAUGUUGAUGGUAGGGAUGCUGGCACAUUGCAUUCCAUUAGUUUUUUAUUGCUCCGUGGUAUUAUUUCUGCAAAACCCAGAGGACAAUGAAAACCUGAUGGGUACAAAUGUCACUGGCAUAAAAUUAGUUGUGACCUUGAGCUUAAAAACUGAGCUCAGUAGAUUUUACUCUCGAUGUAACUGCCACCAUUUGCAUUUUAGACAACACUAGCACACAAGUUUAUACCUCCAUGAAUAUGCUGUACAUUCAGUGAAAGCAUAUAUCACUGUCAAGAUUUACUAGAUAAUAUUAAAGUGUUAGCAUUCUAUACGUGUCAAAAUUAUGGCAAUGGAUUCCAAUACACAUUUGGUCACCUGUUGCAGAUACUUAUUUUGCUCCAUUGUUUUAGUCAGAAAGAGAGUAAGACUAUGUGUAAAUAUAUAUAUAUAUAUACAUAUAAUCAUAUAUACAUGCACACAGAGGAUAUAUACAUUUAUAAAAACAUGUCAGAUUAAUACUCUCAGAUUUUACUUCCCCCCAAAUUAUUCUAUAUAUGCUAUUGACAGUAUUUUGCCACUGCUGGGGGAAAGCUCAAGAUAAACCUUUGUUACAUAAUUCCUUUAUAGGUGACAGCAAUUAUUUCAGAGUAUUAAACUGUGAAUACAGUGAGGGUGUUCAAAAUUGGGAGAGUAGUGUAGAAUAGGAUAUUAUUAUAUUAGUAGCUGAAUAGAAAAAUGCUAAUUUGGAGAAAGAGCUUGCCUCCUUAAGGGUGGACCCUGUCGUACUUUAGAAUUGAAUUCGAAUUAAGGCAGGUGGUUAAAUAAGAUAGCAUUUGCAAAAGGCGCUGCUUGUCUCAUUAGUGUCUGCUGACAUAGAAAUAAUUUUACUUUUUCUAUCAAGCAACAUCAAGCAAAUGUAUGGUUCAGGAACAGAUACCUGCCAGUGGCUGUGUUUGUCAUUUUGAAGGUUCUACUGAAACUAUCUAGAGUUGUCAAUGAUUUACAUGAAAUUAUAUUUUAUCCAUUUCAAGUAAGCCUAUUUCUAAUUUUUCUAUUUAUAUUUUGAUGUGCUGUUUUAAAAAAUGUAUUGAUUUGUUAUUUUUCCUCCUGGUACAAAUGGUAAAAUAAUUCUUACAAGAUCAUGAGGUUAAAGAUGUAUAGUAGAGUUGAGGUUAUUCCCCCAAGGUGCUGUGAAAUGCUUGAAAUUACUCAUGUGUGAAAGUGAUUGGAAUUUUGUCUUCUUAAGAGAAUAUAUGGGGCUAAGUCACUAGAAAGGCUUGGUGACAUUUUCACUCUUACACGUUCUGGCUUUCUUACGGGUGGUAUUCAUUAAACCCACCUAACUUUAAUUCACGUACAUGCUGUGUUAAAGGGAAAUGGUUGGAGGAUAACUUGUAUAAAACCAUACUACAUCAUUUAGAAACCAUCCAAAGUGGCAGUGCAGAUACUAUGCUAGAUUGAGAUGGAAUUGUAACAGCAUUGCUCAUAACACCUUCAAUUAGUCAGACUUCUCAUUUCUGAAACACAUUUUACAUUACGAUAAUUUAGAUGUCACACAGCCACUUUACAUGGAGUUCUGUAAGGGUGUGUUUAUGUGUACUGUGUCUGAUCAAAACUGUUUCUAGAAACUCUACUCUCAAUUCAGAACCUGGGUGGACCCUGUCUUCCUCCUCCUACCCCUCUUCUCCUCUUCCUUCUCUUCUUCCUCCCCCUCCCCUUCUACCCCCCUCCCUCUCUCUCUCUCUCUCUCUCUCUCUCUCUCUCUCUCUCUCUCUCCUUCUCUCUCUCUCUGAGUCAUUCAACAUAUAAUCUUCAAAUAGAGUUCUAUAGAUUUUGUGGCUUUAUUUCCUCUUUUAAUUUACUCUUUUAAUCUACUAGCUGUAGAUAUAUUUUUAAAUGCAAGUAGACUUAGAAACACACAGUGUUAGAAAUGGAGAAGGAAAAAUGAUAUACAAGCACACUCCAUAGUUCCACUUCUUUGUUCUGUAAUAUCCCAUGUGUUUUAUCCUGAUACUGACUUUAAUAUGCCACCCAGUAUAAUGAUCCUGUAUUUUCUCAUAGACAUCCAAUUUAACCAGGCUUGAGAUACCAGGUACUUAAUAUAAAGAUCUUUUGAGCACAAGAAGUACAAUUAUACACAAGCAGGUAAAAAUAUCUCUUAUCAUUAUGAUAUUCUUGGUAACACAAUGAUAACCAAUAUAUGAGAUUUAGUGUAUUUUAAGAUUGAGUUUUACUUUAAAUUAUUUAUGUGUCUCUGUGUGUCUGUGUGGGUAUGUUCACCUGAGUAUAGGUGUUGGCAGAGCUUACAGAUGAGAAUGGAUCCUGUGGAGCUUGAGUUACAGAUGAUCAUGAACCACAUGACAUGACUGCUAGGAACCUAGUUCAAACCCUCUUCAAGAACUCUCUUAACCAUUGAUCCUUCCUUCUAGCUCCACUUAAGUUCAUUUUUAUUCCUAUUUCUUCCUUCUUUUUCUUUUAGUUUGAAAUGUUUUUUUUUUCCUUCAAAGCAAUUGUUUUGUUUUAAUUGGAUAUUUUAUUUAUUUACAUUUCAAAUGUUAUCUCCUUUUCUGGUUUUCCCUCUAGAACCUCCCUAUCCCCUCCUCUGCUUCAAUGAUGGUGCUCCUCCCCCCCAACUCCCACUUCCCUAUCCUGGCCUUUCCCUAUACUGGGGCAUCGAGCCUUGAUGCCUGACAAGGUCAUCCUCUGCUACAUGUGGAACUGGAGUCUGAUAUAGCUGUCUCCUGAGAGGCUCUGCCAGAGCCUGACAAAUACAAAGGCGGAUGCUCACAGUCAACCAUUUGACUGAGCAUGGGGUCUCCAAUGCAGGAGUUAGAGAAAGGACUGAAGGAGAGGAAGGGGUUUGCAACCCCAUAGGAAGAACAAAAACAUCAACCAAUGCCCCCAGAGCUCCCAGGGACUAAACCAGCAACCAAAGAAAGGUUAUUUUUAUUUGUACAAGUGUUUUGCCUUCAUGUUAUACCUAGUGCCGGAGUAAGUUAGCAGAGAGAGUUGAUUCCCUUAGACCAACUGGAGUUAUGGGUAGUUGAGAGUCAUGGUGUGAGUAAUAAGAACAGAACUCAAGACAUCUGCUAGAGCAACAAAUGCUUUAGCCAGUGAGCCAUCCCUUGAGCCCCUCCCAUUUCUUUUUAAACUUCCUCUUGUCUUGAUGCUAACAGGACCUAAUUAUCCAUGGCUAUUAUGAUUGUAUAAACUAAUAAUUAAGAAUAAGCUUAAAUAGUUUUCUAAAAGAUUGAAAAAUAUGUAUAUACUAUUGGCCAUUCCUACUCUAUUUCCCCUCCCUUAAUGGUAUAAUGGCCCAAGACCACAACUGUCAGAUUCAGACAAGGGACAGGAGGCAAGAACAACCAGGGGUGGGACAGUGGAGCAUGUGAUAAAGACCUCAGGAACCCGGUGAGAGCAACAAGAAACAGACUUCUUCAUAGACAGGCUUCAGGGAGCAUAUCCUUUAGUGUGUGGGAAGGACAAAGGCAUUUUAAACAUUUGGGAUGAGUAGGGGUUUUUUGGGUAGGUCCAGGUGCUGGGGAUGCCUCAUUGUAUGGAGGGAAGGGGAAUUCCAGGUGCUUGCUGGAUAUGACCUUAUAAGGAGAGGGAACAUUUAACCUGACUGUGAUUACAUGUGGGCGUAAGUAUGGGUUGCAGGACUAUCUGUACCCGGACAUGCAGGCCUAAGUCAGGGAAUGGUACCACUUCAAGAUGAGAUUUCCAGCGAUGGAUCCAACUCUCCCCACUCCUGCUCUGGACAUGAUUCCUCCCAGUUCCACAGUUCCCUGGCCCUACAAGCAUCAAAUACAACAUACGGAAUAGAAGUGUAGCCAUUUUCUCUCAGCAUUCUGUAUGAAUGCCAUGUGAUUUUAUAGAUUUAUAGAUAUCAUAUAUGCUCAAAACUUGAAAAAAAAAGUUGUAGUGCUUUGUGGGUCAUUUCAAGAGGUCUGUCACAGCAUCACAUAUUGUUUCUGUUAGACUGUUUUAGAGGGGCUGGGCAUUGUCUCAGUUAGACAAAACAACUAGUGUCUGUGUGAACCUUGAAACCAACUGUACUGGAUUCCUGUCAGAAAGCCUUCAGAAGUCAGCCAUCUGGGUUCUGAUCCACUAAAAAAGAUGAAGAGUUAAGUGACCUAAAUUAACCUGUUUGUGCCCAUCCUAAGGCAUACUCUGUAGGCUGUGGCUGUGUUAGACUUCCUGGAACAAGUCGCUGUCAGAAAGAAAGAAAGAAAGAAAGAAAGAAAGAAACUGGAAAGAACCCAGAUGCCCCUCAACAGAGGAAUGGAUACAGAAAAUGUGGUACAUCUACACAAUGGAGUACUACUCAGCUAUU